GGGAGUAGAUAAAAGGGAACAUCUCACUCCAGUCCUGGCUGCUGGAGGAGGAAGAUGGAUGUGUACUGCUGGCUCCUGCUGAGGUACUGUCAGCCUUCCAGAUUACAGAAUCAAGUCUCCCUGACUAGAUUACGAGGGAUUCCUAUCUAUGGAGGCUGAUUGAGAUGUCAAGCCUCUGCCCGGGAGGACAAGCCUGAAGUGGUCUUAGAGCUGUUGCUGUGCAAGGCGAUAGCUGAAAAUUGGAGGGAUUAUUUUUUGAGCAUUUGACUGAAAACUGUCACUGACAGAGGCGUCGUCAUUUUGAGAAAACUGAAGGCUCUUCCUGCAGGUCAAAGAGAAAGCAGACACAUGUCAAGGAGAAAAGCUCUAAAGAAAGCAGGACCACAUACUAGAACAUUCCUCUAGAGAGCACAGCGAAGUCUCUUUCGGUGUCCCAGCACAGCCUGGUUUUGCUGGCAGCGAUGUAAGACAUUCUCUGUGUCGCUCACGGACACCAUCCCCACAGGUCACGCUGCAAGGACUCCAGGGCUGCCACAGGCUCCAUGUUUCUGUGGAUACAUGAGAUCACAGCAAUGAGGAAUGCAGCCAGACUCAUUUCAUCUUACAGCAAAGCUUUCAACUAUCCCUCCUUUAUAUAAAAACUAAUCAACCCCAACUCUGCAAUUAUAACCCUGCAAAGUAAAUAGCUGCCGGGGCCGGGGCCUGUGCCUGCUCCCAUCAGAGUCAGGGGGCAUGCUUCCAUCACCUCCAGUGCGAGCAGGAUUGUACUCCUACUCUGUUAACUAAGGCCAGCAGGAUAUGCCUUGUACAACAGCAAAUAGAAAUGAAUCCACAAGUCUUUCUAAUAGUUUAGCAGUUUAGGCAUUUAUAGGGUCCAGUUCCUACCUUGUGUAUGCUGGUUUUACAUUAGCAUCACUAUUGAUUUCAGUGGGGUUACCCCUGAUUUAUACUGCUGGGAGAGGAGUCUGAGGCCCAAAGGGAUGAUUGAAAAAGCAGUGUUGGUUUCUCUCCUGUUAUCUUCAUAGCACACAAAUUAUGUUAUUGAACCACUAGUUUAACAGUUUUUUAGAAGUCCUAAUCUUUUAUUGUUUGAGGGGGCACUCAAUAAGGAGUUUUAGGAUGAAAAUUUAAGUUUUUUUUUUUUUUAAGGGGGCAAGGUUCAAGGAAGAAUGCAUUUUCAUUAUUUUAAAUGCAACGAAAGCAGUUUUUUGUUUGAAUUUCAAUAUCCUCUUGCUGUGUUCAUAACUCAAACUUUACAGCACUGAGAAUCCAGAAGCUGAAAGUGACCGUACCUGCCAACUUUUGAAUGCUAUAAAUAACAUUUGGAAAGAAAAAUACAACACCCUUAAACGCCAAUAAAAUUCAUUAGUCCUGGUGUGAUUUUUUUGGAGAGACAGAACAAUGUGUGAUAGAUAUCUUGGGAUUGUCCCCAUUAAAUAUUAUUAGUUGGCUUAUAGGAACUGAUUUGAAAUGGACCAGAAAUAAAACCAUUUAACUGACUAUUUUCAUUAUUUAGGAGGAGUAAAAUGCAAAAAGUAAAACCACAUAAAUGAUGGGAAAGUUAGGGUUUUUUUAAUUUUCUGUAAUAAUUCUGGUGUUGCUAUUACUAAUACAGGUCAUGAAAUUUGGUUUUAAUUACAUGAUUCUUAACCUCAUAGUGUCCCUGUGACUCUUGCUUUAACCCCUGAUUCAUGAACUGUUUACACAAAUCUAAAGAAUGUGGUUGUAUGACAGAGAUGGAGGUUAUGGUACAUUAGGUGUGGUAUUGUUCAUGCUGUGUUAUUACUUGCAAAGGACCAAAGGGGAAAAAUGCAACUGUAUUUAAAUAUGAGGCUUUUAACUGCUUUGGGCCCCAAUCCUGCAAAUACUUGCAAACAUGCCAACAUCAGUAAAUAUACACAGGUGAGUAGUCCUAUUGAACUCAGGGAUUACUUACAUGCUUGAAGUUACUCACAUGCAUAAAUGAUUGCAAGAUUGGAGCCUUAGGUUAUCAGCGUACUCUCUUUUAUAUGCCUCUGUGACAAGUGUGUCAUGCAUGUGUGGAAGUUGCCUUACCAAGUUCGGGGGGGUCAGUGCUAACGAGCCAAUUCAUUUAAUGUGGAAGUGGGCUAUUCUCAACAGUUGACAAGGAGGGGUGAAUAACAAGGGAGGAAAAAUCACUUUUGUAGUGCUAAUGAGGCAAAUGUAAUCAAGGUGGCCCAUUUAAAACAGUUGACAAGAAGGUGUGAGUAUCAGCAGGGGGAAAUUAGUUUUUGUAGUGACAGACACCUUAGAAUGCAAUCUGUAAAAGCCAGCCUGCGAGGCAAGGAGCUGCCUACAGUAGCUAAUGGGGAAAUGCUGACAAGAUGGGUGUUUCCAAAACCCCUCCCCUCUCAUGGGGUUAGAUGACUAAUUCCAGGCUGUAGCGAGGCACCUAUCUGUGCUGGCGAUUCCCAACCAAGAACCUCUCUCCUGGAGUCAGUAGAGUAAAGCCCAGAAACUUCAAAUGGGAUCAGGACUAGAACAUGGAAUAUUCUCUCAAGCAAAUUGGUGAAAGCCUUGUUGCUUGGGACAUUUUAAAAGAGUACUGGACAAAACACAGGAGAACACAGUGAAGAGAACAAACUUGCGGCGACCCAGUCUGUCAUGGGAUCAAGGUCUUUAGACACAACACAAUCCCAAGCCAGGCUGAAGCACAGCCAGAUCAUUCAGGAGAGGGGCUUCAUGACAAAGUUCUGACUUGGAAUGCCACUCCAGCUCAUGCAGAAGCAGCAAAGAUUUCCAUCUUUGUACUGUCUUCAGAUGGCUGCACCCUUCACAGAAUAACUUGUGCAUCUAGAAUGCUGCCAUGGGCCUUUGAAGUCCUGCAGACACUGCCACAAAGUCAGAUGUCCUGCAGUCUAAUUAAUUUGAAGUUGACAUUUUAUUUACAGUUACGUGGUAUAGGGUUGCUUUUAUCUGCUCUGUACAAGUAACUUGUCAGUCACUUACAUAAAUCCUUUCUUCACA